AUAGAAUUUAGUCAAUUUAUUUAAUUUGAUCAUAAUUGAAAUUAAAUUGACCACAAUUGUAAUGCAAUUGACCAUUUGAUUUUCAAUAUGGUCGAAAAUUCUGACCAACUCUUAAACUAAUUGGGGUUAUUUAUUAAAUAACCCGAAUUAUACAUAAUCUAUCCUUUCCCAAAAGUAGCCAAAUCAGCCCAUUUUUCCCUUUUAAUUUCAGCAGCCCAAUUUCCAAGCCCAACACCAUAUCAACCAGCCUACCAGCCCAAGUUCCAGCUGACCCGGCCCACCAUACUUGUUUUCCACACAACAACAUCAACGACGAUACCGAAUAGACCAAAAAAAGAAAAAAGAAAAAAAGGAAUUCCGUAGAAAACAAUGACAAUGCCAGCCGCUUCCCUAUCGACCAAACUGGUGCAACAAACCAACAUCGCCGACGACCGACGGCUACAACCGACAAAGCCGACAACCGUCAAAAUCCGGCGAACAGCAAUCACAGCAGCCUCAAACCACGACAACUCUGAAUAACAGUGAAACCCGACCCAAUUUCAUUCGACCGACCCCCCUUUUCUUGACCCGAAUACAAUAACCCAGCUCCGACCCGUCGACCCGCAACGCACCAGCUCAGCGUACUAAAUAGUAUGAUUUUCGUAGGAUUCGUCUUAUCCCUAAUUCAAAAUUUAAAUUCCUUCAGCUAAAUCCCCAAAUUGUCCUUGAAAUUCUCAGCCCACAUCGCCAAAAAUAACAAUUCAUCUCAAAAUUUCUUCUAUAUAAGACCCUUUGUUGAGUUGAAAAUAUCUAGUUUCAAAGAGGAAAAACCUCGAGCAAGAAGUCUUGAAGGUUGGAAAAAACUUUCAAAGGAAAAAGUCUAUUUUCUAGUAAAAACAUUUAUCGUGAAAAUUCAAUGAGUUUUUGGAGUCGCGGUGAAACUUUCCAGUGAUGGUCGAUAUUCCGUUGGUAGCUCGUAAUUUCGUUUUGCUUCUCCAAAAGAGCUAUACAAGCCAUGAAGGCCUUAGGAUUUUGUAUGAUGAUUUAUUCUGGAAGCAGACUUAUUUUCGCUUAAAGGGUUAAGGUUUGUGCCUUUUCGUUGAUUUCUCUUUGGAAUUGAACUUUGUCGCUUUAAUUUUGUGUUACGCUUUCUUUUUGUGCCGUUAUAAGGUCUAACAGGAGUAUAUUGGUGUGGGAAAGGUAUCUGCCAUUUGGGUUGACAAAGGACAUGCUAAAAUCUGUUUUCAAAAUGGUUCAUUAGGUCCUUUAAAUAGUCAGGUUUCUUUAUGAGUAUUUGUUCGACCUUCUGUGAUAAAACGAAUCGUAGUGCGACUUAUUGUGUACUGUGUCAGGAUAAUGUUAUUUCUUAACUACUAAAAUUUGUUUAGGAUAUCGUGAAGGUUCUUCUUUCUUUUAUCCGAUUUAAUUCACAUGUUGCGAUUCCAUACUUUUCAUUGUGAAUUUUUGAUCACCGUUUCAGUGCUAUCCUUGUUUGAUCUAGAUCUCAUGUAGAUCCCUUUUGAUUUACUAUUUUUUCGAUCCAACAAUAAGUUGAAUGCAUUAGUUUUGUAACUUAUGUUCCAAAUUCUACCUUCAAAAUCUCCGCAACACCAGGCUUUUCUUUCUCUUUUCAUUGCUAAUUAUAAGCUUGUUGUAGAUGUAUACUUAAGCAUUGUGGCCUGAUUCGCUACUUUUAUUAUUUUUUUGUUUGUUUUGUUCCUUAUAUCAGUUUGUUGUUGCCUUUUUCAUUCCUGAAGCUCCUUUUGACAAAAGAUGUCAAGCAUGGAUAAAGGAAUGUUAUACAAGUUCCUUAUUCCAUUGAAAGUUACAAUUGAUGUGUUAACAUUCUCAUGAUAUUGUAAUAAUAGUUUCGAUGUUCUAGUGCAAAUUUGUGGAUGUUCUUGUCGUAUAGAUAUUGAAAAAUUCACUCUCGAUAUCCCUUGUAGCAGAAAUUCCUAUCUUCCAAUAUUGUAUUGUGCAAAUAGGUUACUUGUCUUUUCUUUCUUCCUUUUUAUCCUGUUCAUCUCUAACUUGUGAAAAGUUGAAUGUUGAAUCUUAGUUGCACACUAAAAAGCUUGAUAAUCUGAGAUUUUUAUAGUUCAUAAGCUUCUUUGGUUGCGAUUUGCUCAUGUUCUUAUCCACUAUUUAUCCCUGCCUUUGCCUGACUACUAAGUUUUUCUUAAGUCUUUCAGUUUAUAUCUUUGUGUCACCAAAGUUUUCUGUAGCAUUAUAACAUAAUCUGUUACCUUUGUUUGCUCGCAAUUGUGAGAAUUUCCUAUUUUUUCUUAUCCUCUCUGUUUAUUUGGAAAUCAUUGGUUGAUAUAAGUUUCUCUUCAAUUUUGCGAGCCGUUGUUUUCUCUAUAUCUGUGUGUUUAGCCGCUAAUUUAGAACACAUAUUAAGUACUUUGCUUUUCUUUUGCAUGUGGAUACGUUCGAGCCCUACAUGGACUCCUUUGCCUUUGCAUAUUUUUGGUCGGCCAUUGAGGCCCAAUUACCCAAGUCGAUCUCGAAAGACUAAGUCCAAAGACAAUCUCAAGGCAUAUGGAUAUGAGAAGAUGGAAGAAGAAGGAAGAGGCUUAUUUACUUUAUUAGUCUUGUUUUUAUUUCCUUUAUUUAUUUACUUAUUCAUUUAUUUGGGCCUCGAAGCCAAAGUUGUAAAUUAAUAUAUGUAAAACGAGACUCACGCCAAAGGUUCGAAAAUAGUUUAGGACAGGUGAAGAUGGGCCGAAGGCCCAACAUUUAGAUUAGGACAAGUGCAAGUUGGCUAAAAGCGUAAUUAGAUUAGGACAGGAGCUAUUGAUUUGAGCUCAAUGGCCUAAGUCUU